UCGUCGUGACAUCUCUACUCGGCCACCGCCUCUCUCAGACUUUUAGCUCUCUACCUCUUUCUCUCUUGAACUCUCCCUCUCUCUAUUCGACUUUGACCUCUCUCCCUCUCUCAGUCUCCCUACCCAAAUCGCCAUUAUCCCUCUGCUCUGCAACUGCCUCUGUGCCUCCAUUCUCUGCAUCGUCUAGCAGUAUCCGUUCCGAUUUUUGGAGCCCCAAAGUUUUUCGAUAUCAUACUCUUAGGAAUUGGUUCCUGGAGCUUUCGAAAUUUGUUUUCUUUUUCUAGAUAUUAAGUACCAGAGCUCAUAAGUUAGGGUUUGAAGCUUUAGGAUCAUAAUUACUAGGGGUUUGGGGAUUAGGGUUUAUAUUCUUGUGCUUCCAGGAAUGUCAAGCUUCAUCAAUACAGUGGAUUCUAAAGAAAGAUGUUUUAAUGGGAGAAAAGAGGCAACGAAUGGCUGAAUAUGCAGAUAUAUUUGACCCAGAAAGCCAGCUUCAAUUGCAUUUCAGAACAAGGAGCCUUCCUUUUGUUCACCUCGGAUUCAUUUUUGGCUAAGACAAGGAGCUUUCCUUCUGUUCACCUUAGUUACUUCCAUCUUCCUCUUGGCCAAAAGAAAGAACUUCACUUUUGUUCACCUUGGUUUUGUUCUCUUGAAAUCUCACGACAAGGUGGAGGAUCUAAAAAUUGAGAAUGAACAAUUCAAGCAUUGAAUUCCAAUUUUGGAGGCAAAUAUUGAAGCAGUACAAAGAGAUGGAAACGAUGCCAUGAGUGAAGUGCAAGGGUGGUUCAACAGAGCACAAGAUGAAGCAAAGGAAUUAGUUUCAAGAUACUAUCAAAAGUGCUUCACCAAGUCAGGUAGACGUGUAACAAAGAAACUUGCAAAUCACCUCUCAAAUCCAUGAAAAAAAUGAAGUCAACUGGAGAGUGGAUCAAGGAUUACCAUUGGGGAUGGAGAUGUCUACAACUUCUACAUGUCAGUCAACUUUUGUUAGACUGCUUGAGUAAUGAUAAAUUGGGUGCGAUUGGCAUUCAUGGCAUGGGCCGUAUCGGGAAGACAACUAUCAUGCAUAAGAUCAACAACGACUUCUUAGAAACUCGAGAGUUCAAAGAUCUCAGCAUGAUAAGAUUUUAAAAAAAAACUCAUUUCACCUAAACUCGGCUGCUUGGAUAUCUCUUCAAAUCCCACGAGAAGGUGGAGGAUGGAAAAGCCUUUAAGAAGGGCAAAUCCUACUAAAAAGUGGAAGAUACGAGAAGGUGGAAGAUGGCAACGCUAAAAUACGAGAAAGUGGAAGAUGGCAACGUUAAGAUACGAGUAGGUGGAAGAUGGCAACGUUAUAAUAUGAGAAGGUGGAAGAUGACAACGCUUUAUGAGUGAAGCGCAAGGGUGGUUCAAAAGUUAAGGUUUGGUUCAAAAGAUUUGGAAAACCUGAACAAGUAUUGUUUUGGAGGGCUUUGUUGAAAUUGCUUCUCCAAUUAAGUAAGUAAGGUAGGUCGGGUAGACAUGCAACAAAGAAACUAUUACAAAUCACUUUUGAAAUCAAUGAAGAAAAUAAGUCGGGUAGGUCGGUUAGACAUGCAACAAAUAAACUAUUACAAAUCACGUCUGAAAUCAAUGAAGAAAAUGACAAAUCACCUCUGAAAUCAAUGAAGAAAAUGAUGUCAGUGGGAGCAUAGAUCAAGAUCUCCCUUGGGGAUGAAGAUGUCUACAACUUCCACAUCAAGUCUCUCAACUUUGGAGAGAAAUCAUCCUCAUUGGGGAUGGAGAUGCCUACAACUUCCACAACACGUCUAUCAACUUUUGAUAGAAAUCAUCCUAAGAAAAUGAUGGAUCAAGAUUGGAUCAAGAUCGCCACAACACGUGUAUCAACUUUUGAUAGAAAUCAUCCUAAGAAAAUGAUGGAUCAAGAUCGCCAUUGGGGAUGGAGAUGCCUACAACUUCCACAACAGGAAAUCAUCCUAAACUGCUUGAAUAAUGGUAAAUUGGGUGUGAUUGAAUUGGCAUAAUUGUCGAUGAUGAAGGGAAGAUUGCAGGGAGAUUGCUUACUAGUUUAAGCAAACAAAGAUUCAUGCUCAUCUUAGAUGACUAGUAGGAAAAGCUGGAUUUAAAUGCUAGAUAGCCAAACCUACAAAACAGAUUCAAGGUUGUAUUAACCACCCAUUGUUAAGAGUGUAUAAUGAGCUGGCCACUGACCAUGAAAUUAAUAACCACCCGAUUGUUAAGAUUGUACAAUAGAUGGCCACUGACCACGAAAUUAAUGUGGAGGUUUGAAUAGAGGAGGAAGCAUGGAAUUUGUUUGGUGAGAAAACAAGAAAUGUGGUAGACCUGCCCACUAUAGCAUGAGAUGUUGUCAAAUAAUGUGGAAUGAGUGGGAAGGAUAAUGUGUUUGUGGAAGGAUGCACAAAGAUCAAGGAUGCACUAAGAUCGUUGUGGCAUUCAACAAUGGAGAUAUAUGGCACGGAGCCUCGAGUAUUCUGGCCAUCGCUAUGAACAAUCAGAAGAUGGAAACAUUAGGCAAUGUUUCCUGUAUUGCUCUAUUUAGAGUACCAUGAAAUUAAAAAAGAUGAGUUGGUUGAGUAUUGGAUAGGCGAGGGGGAUCUAGACGGAGUUGAUAGUUUAGAGUGUGCUAGAAACAAAGGCACGGUCUAAGAAGUUGAUCAACUCGUGCAUGAUAGAGAGUUGCCAGAGAUGAUGGUGGGGUGAAGCUUCACAAAAUGAUCUAGGAUAUUGCUGUACACAUCGGCUCAAGACGGUGGGAGUUUUUUUGUGGAAGCAGGAUUGGGAUUGAAAGAAGCACACAUGUAUGAAGAAUGGGGAGAUGCUCGACUCAUAUCGCUAAUGAGUAGUGAUAUAGAGAGAUUUCCGAAUCAGCCAAUAUGUCAAGCCCCCACAACAUUGAUAUUCAAAGAAAACAGGAAAUUGAAUUAGUCUUCUUUGAAUGCAUGGAAGCCCUAAAUGUGCUUGAUCUCAGCGAAAGUAGUAUCCACUCGUUGCCACGAUCAUUAUCCAACUUGAAAAAUCUCCAUCACUUUUGUCUAUGUGAUUGUGCAAUGGGAAAUUCUUGUGUAAACUCUAACUCACUCUUAAGAAGAUUAUGUUGAUGUUUGCUUGGUC